rnacentral:RNase_P_RNA from 2 species
CCUGCUCUUUGGAUGAUCGCUCCGGCGAAGCCCCGUAAGGGGCGGAGCCUGAGAGGAACGUCCGGGCUCCAUUGGAACGCCUAGUGGGUAACGCCCACCUGCCCGUCAUAUAUUCGGUAAAGGCGGGCACGGACCAGUGCCACAGAGACGAUCCCGCAAGGGGGUGAAACGCCUCGGAGCACCGAGGCCCCGUGCAAACGGGGUUGGCAAACUCUAGGUGGAGCAAGGAGGGUUUGGGUCGCUGGAUCACGCAGUGGUUCCGCUGUACCGACGACUCCUCCGCACAGUACCCGUCCCGCAUCUGCGGGCCGCGGUCGAGGCCACCGGGUAACCGGGGUCCCAGAGAGAUGAUCAUCGCCCCGCGUUCCAUAACGCGGGGAACAGAACCCGGCGUACAGAAGAGCGGGACCA